UGUGCCAGCCCCUGCCAUCUCCCGCAUGAACUACAGGUACAGAAGGAAUGUUAGCUCCUCUGUGAAACACAAAAAGGGGCUACUGUCAAGUUUUCUCUAAUUAAAAAAAGGAACACGUGCUCACUGAAUAAGAUUUAGAAACCAAGAAAAGUAUGAAGAAAAAAAUGAAGAUCGCCUAUAGUCCCACAUCCCAGGGUCAUCUGUGUCAGUGCUUGGUGUAUUUUCUCCAGCCUCUCGAGGCUGCAUUCUGUUCAACCCGGUUCACCGUGUGGACAUUGCAGGUGUGAGGUGGCAGCACCCGGGAUGUACCUGAUGCCCUGACAGGCACUGGGUAGGUGACUCUUCUCUAUAACCCUGAUAACCCUCUGUGGCUGUGAGCGGGAAGACCCCUCUGUGGGCUGCUGAGCUGGCAAGGGCAGAAGAGGGUUCUGGAUCCAGGGCCUGGCUCCUCCUCUCCACCCCACACAGACCCUACCCGAUACCUUCAUCCCGCUAACCAGAUUAGGAAGGCCCAUGGAGCCGAGGCGAGCCUGCAGCCACCAUGGCCAGGCCUGGGAGCCCAGGGUCAGGCUGCUCCCAUGGCCCAGUCAUGCUCAGCCAGGUCCCCAUUCCGUGGGGGGGCAUGAGGGGUGCCCAGAGGGAGCAGCAUGGUGCCCGGGAGACACCUGGGUGCUGCAGAGAGUAAGAGGUGCAGCUCACACAUGGAAAGCCCCCAUGAUUUCUGGGUGUUUUUACAAGGAGACCAACAAACAGCAUUUGGCAUCUGGCCAAAGAGGAUUCUAUCCCUCUGUUGUCCCAGCAGCACCAGCUUCUACAAGGGCUCCAAGCGCCUGUGCAGAGGUGGCAACGAGGCCUAGUGAGUAGAACACACACCGCGGCUCCCUCCCCAGUACCCAUCCCCUCCCUUCUUCCUCAUGAGGUGGAUCAGGGUGGCCACGUGGCCAGUCACAGGGCUCUCAGCCAGGGUCCCUGCUGGCUGAGGCGGCCACUGUUCUCCCCGGCCACUCUAAUGAGCCAGGGAGAGUGAACUGGGCAAGGCCCUGGGAACACAUGCCAGGGUGAGCUUCAUAAGGUCAAGGCAGCUGGCCUCUGCCCUUUGCACUCUGUCCUUGUCUUCCUUCCUGCUGGGAGGCACAGAAGCCAUCUGGAGGCUGUGAGGGUGGAGACAAAGGCCACAUAAGCCCAGGAUGGCCAGGAGCCGACAGGAGCCUGGGGCGGGGCUCUGUCUGCUGCUUCCCUCUAAGCUGCCCAUGGGGUGAGGACUCCUGGGGGACGAGGCACUACAGCCUGCUUUGUGUUUCCUGCAGACCGAUUAGUCUUAUGGAAGCAGACAAGGGAGCAAAAAAAUGGCGGUGGGGGGGACCCCAGAACUGCCACGGACAAGAAGCCAUCGAAGAGACACACUCCCAUCUAUUUGUUAAACAACCACAUCCUGGUGGCUGCCUCUGUGCCAGGGCCUCGUGGACUCUGGGCAUGGUGCUCUGAAUGAAGACAAACAUGACCACACAGUCUAUGGUGGGGACCACAGACAACAAGAAAUAAGCUACACACACUGAGAAACACUAAGAAACAGCAGUGCGAGUGAGCGUGUGGCCAGGUGGCCAGGGAGAGCCCUGGCAAGGAGGGGACAUCUGAGAUGAGCCCUGGAGGAGACGCAGGAGUGAGGCGCAAGGCACGGCCAUCUGAGAAGAGGGAAUGCAUGACGCGGCCUAUGGUGGGAGCAGCCCAGGAGGGCAGCUUCAAAAGUGAAACUGAUGGGAUGUGCUGAGAAUCAUCCGUGGGAAGUGCAAGCAGGACCCCAGCAUGGCCACAGCACAGCAAGCGAGGGGAAGAGAGAGGAUGGAAGUCAGGUGGGAAGGGGGCUUGCAGGUCACAGAAACAAGCCCACCUUCGAGUCUGUAGGGGGGCUCUGAUUCCCCCCUGGCUUGCGCCAACCGCAUGUGGAGAAGGGGAAGAUGCCUGGGGUUGGGGAGCAGGAGGCCAGGCCAGGGGGCAGCAGCUGGGAUGCUGGGACUUGUCAGAUCCUGGAUAAACCUCAAAGGUGAAGGUGAUGGGAUGUGCUGAGAGUCAUCAGUGGGAUGUGCAUAAGAGGGAGUCAAAGAUGUCUGAGCAGAGAGAAGGACCUCGCUGGCAUCUACAGUGAAGGGAGGGACCUCGCUGGCAUCUACAGUGAAUGGAGGGACCUCGCUGGCAUCUAUAGUGAAGGGAAGGGUCACGCUGGCAUCUACAGUAAAGGGAGGGACCUAGCUGGCAUCUACAGUGACGGGAGGGACCUCGCUCACAUCUACAGUAAAGGGAGGGGCCACACUGGCAUCUACAGUAAAGGGAGGGGCCCCACUGGCAUCAACAGUGAAGGGAAGAACCACCCUGGCAUCAACAGUGAUGGCGGAUGGGCGACCAGUGCAGCGGUGUCUGGAGCUGAGGUCGGACCCAUUAGUUGGGGCUGCUAAUCAGUUCACCAUGCAGGCCGUGGGCCAAGCCACUGAAGGGAUCCACCUGGACUAGGAGUGACUGGGCUGGCCACAGAGCUCUGCCCUACCCGCUCACCGCUGGACAUGAAACAGCAAGUGCCUAUCCUGGAGGGCUCCGCCUGGGGAGUGCCAGGGAGAAGAAGACAGAGGUCCCAGGAGUCCCAGGGGCCCCCAUUACUGGCCACCUCCGCUCAACCCAAACUGCACUAUGUGAGGUCCCGCCAGACUACAUACAGGCCAACGAGAGCCCAAGAAUGCAGCCAGGAAACCAGGCCAGGCAGACUCCAAAAGCCCGUGCUACGGGGUCAGUAGGACCCGCCUACAGCUGAGGGCUAUAGGCAGCUCUCCAGAGGACCUCCCAGGAGAAGCCAACAGUGCACAUGGGCUAGGUUCCUCCUGCUGUUCACCCUCUGUGCCCAGUAACUACCCAGGAACAGGCAUGACUGACUCUGCCAACUCAUUCACUGGGUAACCGCUGACCCCACCAGGCCCUCGGAGUAAAGCAGUUAGUGAGAACCGCAGGUAAAAGCGCGGGCUACUCAUCCCUCCGCCUGUGGAUUCUAUUAUCAACAAAGAUGCAUCACCUGCUAGAAGAGCGGUUCUCAAACUUGGCUGCACAUCAGGUUCACUUCAAAAGCUUCAGGAAAAGCUAGUGCCUUGGGCCCACCCCAGAGACAGGUAUAGCUCAAGGUGAGAACCAGAGCACCAGCAGGCAGGCCUCUGCCAGGCAGCAUGGGCAACGUGUGCUGGGUGAAUGUGCGGCCUGCACUCAUCACCCAGAAGAGCCCCACUGUGUCCACACAAGGACAGGCCACCGAAGUCCCAGUCCCCACUCUCCCUUCUCACUUACUUUGUGAAUGAGAGCUCACCAACAGUUUACCGUCUUCCGAGUGCUGCGGCCUCACCGCCCGACCCGCAGCAGGGGUGAGGGCUUGCAAAGGCCAUGCAACAGAUCCUCCCCCUCAAAGGGGCUCAGGCCUCAGUGUGGUAAUGGGAGCGGCCCCUUCCCACACUUGUCAGAGAACCCACCCACCCGGUGGAAUGAAGCCGAAGCCCAAGCCGCAGGGCAACAGCCCGGGACGGCAGGGGACAAGUCUGUACAGCAGCCACACCCCUGCCAGAGCCAGGAGCUCUUCCAUUUCCACAGCAGGCCAACUCUCACCUGGAAGCACCCACCUAACCAAACCCAAUCCCUGCCUUCUUUUAGUCACACUGGGAACUGCCACAGGAAGGCUGGGGACUCCACAUACUCCCUCCUCACCACACCCCAUGUGUGAUCACCCUUAAACAGAAAACAUGCACCUAAGAUCCUACGAUGCGCUGCCCACCUCACAAAAAACCGGUGCCUCUAGGUAAGAGCACCUAGCUGACCCAUCCCUGUUCCCUCUCACCAUUAGAAGGACCCCCAAGUCCCCCUGUUCUAACACCGAGGCUGCACUCCCACUCUCCACCCACUAACAUUACCAUAAAAAAUAAAUUGAAUAGUUAGAAGGAGGGGCUCCCCAAAGCCUGGCCACCUUCCCGAGGGUCCCAAGCAGUUUCUUGGAGUCCCUCUCCCCACUCAGUCCCGCCACACCCCUCUCAGGCAGUCUGGCCCUUCCCUCCUGAACUUUGGCGGGCUGGAACCAGCUCCCAGCCUCUCCUCCCUUAUCAAGCUCACUGGGGGCCCACACAGAGCUCCCAUCCCCACCAGCUUUUCUCGCUUUGCCACUCCCAGCUAAAACUGGGCUCAAGGCAAGCAAGCCUGCAGUCCCUCAGUCCCUCGGGGCCCAGCCCCUCCUCAGAGCCCUCCCCCAGCCCAGGUCCCUAACCCUUAGGGCAAGGCCCCUCCCAGCAGGAAGCGAACCCUGGCGGUGCCAGGCAGAGUCAAACUGGAAGGGCUGGUUCAGAAGCCCCUAAAUGGGAGCCAGGACCUCUCUUAGGGAGGGGGCUUUCAGCCCCAUCCUCCCUAGUGCGAUCUCAGAUCUCUCCAGACACCACACUAUAUGGGCCUCCACAGGCGGUGGAGUCAAAGGCAUUUACCCUCCAGCCCCCAGCAAGCUACUUAACUUCCAAAAGCAGCUCCUUCCCUCCUCCAGAGGAGAACGGGCCGCGUGCUGAACUGCAAGCGCCUCUAUCACCCCGCCCAGGCAAGUCUGUGAGCACCAGAAAGCAGGGGCCAACAUGACUUGGUCUAAACCAAGGGGGCCAGGCACUGACUUUGCGCUCAGAAAAUGUGGCGGAAUGAAUAAAAAGCUUGAAAAA
rnacentral:lncRNA from 1 species